UACGGGGGGGGCAAGCGUUGUUCGGAAUUACUGGGCGUAAAGGGCUCGUAGGCGGCCAACUAAGUCGGAUGUGAAAUCCCCAGGCUUAACCUGGGAACUGCAUCCGAUACUGACGAGCUAGAGUUCUGGAGGGGGUAGCGGAAUUCCUGGUGUAGCGGUGAAAUGCGUAGAUAUCAGGAGGAACACCGGUGGCGAAGGCGGCUACCUGGACAGAGUCUGACGCUGAGGCACGAAAGCUAGGGGAGCAAACAGG
rnacentral:rRNA from 1 species